rnacentral:rRNA from 1 species
UACAGAGGGGGCAAGCGUUAUUCGGAAUUAUUGGGCGUAAAGGGCUCGUAGGCGGCCAACUAAGUCAGACGUGAAAUCCCUCGGCUUAACCGGGGAACUGCGUCUGAUACUGGAUGGCUUGAGUUUGGGAGAGGGAUGCGGAAUUCCAGGUGUAGCGGUGAAAUGCGUAGAUAUCUGGAGGAACACCGGUGGCGAAGGCGGCAUCCUGGACCAACACUGACGCUGAGUGAGCGAAAGCCAGGGGAGCAAACGGG